GGGAAUUAUUGGGCGUAAGAGCUCGUAGGCGGUUUGUCGCGUCUGCCGUGAAAGUCCGGGGCUUAACCCCGGAUCUGCGGUGGGUACGGGCAGACUGGAGUGCAGUAGGGGAGACUGGAAUUCCUGGUGUAGCGGUGAAAUGCGCAAAUAUCAGGAGGAACACCGAUGGCGGAGGCAGGUCUCUGGGCUGUUACUGACGCUGAGGAGCGAAAGCAUGGGGAGCGAACAGGAUUAAAUACCCUGGUAGUCCAUGCCGUAAACGUUGGGCACUAGGUGUGGGGGCCAUUCCACGGUUUCCGCGCCGCAGCUAACGCAUUAAGUGCCCCGCCUGGGGAGUACGGCCGCAAGGCUAAAACUCAAAGGAAUUGACGGGGGCCCGCACAAGCAGCGGAGCAUGCGGAUUAAUUCGAUGCAACGCGAAGAACCUUACCAAGGCUUGACAUGUUCCCGAUCGCCACAGAGAUGUGGUUUCCCCUUUGGGGCGGGUUCACAGGUGGUGCAUGGUUGUCGUCAGCUCGCGUCGUGAGAUGUUGGGUUAAGUCCCGCAACGAGCGCAACCCUCGUUCUAUGUUGCCAGCACGUGAUGGUGGGAACUCAUAGGAGACUGCCGGGGUCAACUCGGAGGAAGGUGGGGAUGACGUCAAAUCAUCAUGCCCUUUAUGUCUUGGGCUUCACGCAUGCUACAAUGGCUGGUACAGAGAGAGGCGAACCCGUGAGGGUGAGCGAAUCCCUUAAAGCCAGUCUCAGUUCGGAUCGUAGUCUGCAAUUCGACUACGUGAAGUCAGAGUCGCUAGUAAUCGCAUAUCAGCAACGCUGCGGUGAAUACGUUCCCGGGUC
rnacentral:rRNA from 1 species